rnacentral:lncRNA from 1 species
CAGGAUCAGAACCGUGGCAACUGUCAAGUGAGUCCUUAAGUAUUUAAGAAAUACUUAAGGAUAGAUUCCUCAAAAAAAAAAAUGAGGAAGAAUUAGAGUAACGUAAUGGAAGCGUAAAUGUAUUAGAUUAUGAAUCUGAUACAUCAUUGGAUGUUUCUUCAUUAUGAAUGAAGAGAUAAACAAAUAUCUCUUUAUUAUGACUAAAGAGAUAUUUGGAUGGAAACAUUAAAGUAAUGACUUUAGUGUGUUCCAUUAUGAAUGCAAGAUAUAUUGCCAUAUAGAAGUUUACAAAAAUGUUGUUUGGAUGGGAAAGUUCAUUUAUGAACUCUCUAUUCGAUUCCAACCAGAAAGUGUAUGACACUAAUGGGGCGAUAGCUCAAGCCUGGGAAUCAAGGUCUCAUCAAGAUCCGAACACAAAUGAGAGACUGAACCACAUGAUUGAGAAUCAUGUAUAAUGGUGACGUCGUUAUUCUCAAGGUUGCUUCUGUGGAUAACACAUAUAGAUAUCCAUUGUCUAGGCCUACUACUCAGCCAUUUAUGAAAUGACGACAGAAGAGGUAUCAUCACUGAUGACCAAUGCUGAUUGGCUCUAGUGCAAGUGGGAGAUUGUUGGAAAUGUGCCCUAAAACCAAUCAUAUGAUGAUACUUUACGGACAUUUCAAAUGUUAAACUAAUCUAGUUUAACAAAUAAAGGGCAAAGAUUAUUGUUUGAGCCGUCUCAUAUAAAUGUUAUAUGCUUAAACGAUAAAGUCCAAGGAAU